ensembl:lncRNA
AUGAGUCACAUCAACUAUCAUGUUCCAAGAAGUACAGGUAGAGGUGGAGGAGUAGCAGCAGUUUAUAAAUCACAUUUAUUAAUUACUCCUAAACCUAAACAUAGUUAUAACUCAUUUGAGAGCCUCACUCUGAGCCUUUCUCACCUAGACUCUAAAACUCAGAAACCAGUUGUGUUUUGUAUUGUUUACCGUCCUCCUGCUCCAUAUUCAGAGUUCUUAACUGAAUUCUCUGAAUUCUUAUCUGACUUAGUUCUUAGCACAGAUAAAGUCAUUGUAGUGGGAGACUUUAACAUUCAUGUAGAUGUUGACAGCAACUGUCUCAGCACUGCUUUUAACUCCUUAAUAGACACUAUUGGUUUUACACAGCAGGUAAAUGAACCCACUCAUCGUUUUAACCAUACCCUCGAUCUUGUCCUGACAUAUGGGGUUGAAAUUGAUAAUUUAAUAGUUCUUCCCCAAAACCCUCUGUUAUCUGACCAUUUCUUAUUAACUUUUGAAUUAAGCACAACUGACCCUAUAACAGCUGGAAAGAAAUGUUACUAUAGCAGAUGUUUAUCUGACAACGCUGUUGCCAGAUUCAAGCAGAUGAUUCCAUCAUCUUUUGCCUCAAUGUCUUGCAGAUACACAGAGAACAGUCACCUUAAUCCUUAUGAACAGGUUGACUGUCUUGUAGAUGAUGCUGCAGCUUCUCUACGUACAAUGUUAGACACAGUGGCUCCUCUGAAGAAGAAGACAGUGAAUCAGAGGAGGUUAGCUCCGUGGUAUAACUCAGACAUCCGCAGUCUAAAGCAAAGGACUAGACAACUAGAAAGACAGUGGCGUUCCAACAAAAUAAAUGUAAACUGCAUUGCAUGGAAGGACAGUCUAAUGAAAUAUAAAAAAGCACUCUGUGCUGCUAGAAAAACAUAUUAUUCCUCCCUAAUUGAGGAAAACAAAAACAACCCCAGGUUUCUUUUCAGCACUGUAGCCAGGCUGACAAAGAGUCAUAGCUGUAUUGAGUCUACUAUCCCCUUAAAUCUCAGCAGCAAUGACUUUAUGAACUACUUUACUAAUAAAAUUAUCAUCAUUAGAAAAAACAUUCAGCAGCGACUUCUUCCAAAUGACAGAAAGCACUGUCUAGAUCCAUCAACUUUAAAUUUAUUAAAUCCUCUGUCAUACCUAGACAGCUUCUCCCCCAUAACUCAUAUGGAGUUAACCUCAAUAAUUAACUCUUCCAAGUCGUCCACUUGUCUUUUAUAUCCAAUCCCAACCAGAUUACUCAAAGAAGUUCUACCUUUAAUCAGCUCAUCCAUAUUAAAUCAAAUCAACCAAUCUUUACAACUAGGCUAUGUACCACAGGCUUUUAAGGUGGCUGUGGUCAAACCUCUAUUGAAAAAAACAACCCUUGACCCUGGACAACUAGCCAACUAUAGGCCCAUUUCAAAUUUACCCUUUAUUUCCAAGAUUCUGGAAAAAAUCGUGGCUAAACAAUUAUCUGACCACCUUAGUGGGAAUAACCUGUAUGAAGAUUUUCAGUCAGGAUUUAGAAAACAUCAUAGCACAGAAACAGCUCUGGUUAGAGUCACUAAUGAUCUUCUAUUAGCUUCGGACAAUGGUCUAGUUUCUGUCCUUGUCCUGUUAGAUCUUAGUGCUGCAUUUGAUACAAUUGAUCAUCACAUUCUAUUACAGACACUAGAACAUAGAAUCGGGAUUAAUGGAACAGCAUUGGGAUGGUUUAAAUCCUAUUUUUUGAACAGAUUCCAGUUGUUCAUGUUAAUGAUAAAUUCUCCACACGCACAAGGAUUAGCUAUGGAGUUCCACAGGGUUCUGUGCUGGGUCCAAUUCUGUUUAGCCUAUACAUGUCUCCUCUAG